AGGCUCAGGACCAACUUCCGGACACGAUCUGCGAACUUUAGUGCCUAUUGGGUCAGGUCUCGGCACAGACUCACCGCCGACCAACCAGAGGGCAAGUUGUCUGCGGGGGAGGGGACGAGCGACGGCCCAAUUGGAGACGAGAGGCGGGGCAGCUAAGUUUAGAGGAAAACAAGCCUAAGGCGGGCGUGACCCGCCGACUACCCGAUCGGAAUUCCCAGAAAGCCUCCUAAAGUGAAAACCCCGAAUCACACGAAAUCCAGCUCGUCAGUGUCCGGAUGGGACCAAACAAACCGAAUUGUUAACAAGCUCUUCCCCCUCAGACAAGCUUGAGAAUCACUGUCCCGGUCAUAACGGGUUUAAAGGCAGUCCCCACUUGCUCGAGUUACUCGGGGCUGCAGGGGAGAGCCCCUCCGGCCCUGGCGCCCUCGGAAGCACGUAAGCCAGGGUCCCCUCCGCCGCCUCCCGGCGCCGGGGGAAGCGCGGGAAGCGGCGAACCACUCCGGGUCAGCGUCGCUGAGGGGCUUGCCGGGAGAUGUAGUCUGUUGCGCGGCUUACGCCUGCGCCUGCGCGGAUACAGGUGCAGGGAGGAGGGACGGGGAGCUAUGCGCGGCAGCAGUGCUUCCGGCACGCUGCUGGGGGCCUGGGGUUGGAGCGCUCUGCUGUCCCUUGCCCCGUCGGGGUCCCGCUUCUGGAGGCUGGACAUCCCCGAGGGCUCUUGGAGACCCAUGACGUGCUGGCUUAUUGUCCAUCCCUGCGAAGGCGGGAUCGUUGUUCAACUCCCUCCUGGGUCUUGUGAUGAAGGUUGUGAACUUCACUGCGAGCGGGUUUUAAGAUCAGGAGAGAUGAAGAAGCUUCUUCAAAGCAGAAAAAAACCUGUAAACUCUGCAUCCACCCACUGUGACUUGAGGGGAGUGCUCUCCAAAGGCCUACUUUACAACAAAGACUACAAACCUUUAACAACCAAUGUGGAAAGCUCAAGACCCAGCAGAACUUACAGAGCAUCCAACAACCCUCUAGGAAGAAAACCCUGA
rnacentral:lncRNA from 1 species